rnacentral:rRNA from 1 species
GAUGAACGCUGGCGGCGUGCCUAAUACAUGCAAGUCGAGCGAAUGGAUUAAGAGCUUGCUCUUAUGAAGUUAGCGGCGGACGGGUGAGUAACACGUGAGUAACCUGCCCAUAAGACUGGGAUAACUCCGGGAAACCGGGGCUAAUACCGGAUAACAUUUUGAACCGCAUGGUUCGAAAUUGAAAGGCGGCUUCGGCUGUCACUUAUGGAUGGACCCGCGUCGCAUUAGCUAGGUGGUGAGGUAACGGCUCACCAAGGCAACGAUGCGUAGCCGACCUGAGAGGGUGAUCGGCCACACUGGGACUGAGGCACGGCCCAGACUCCUACGGGAGGCAGCAGUAGGGAAUCUUCCGCAAUGGACGAAAGUCUGACGGAGCAACGCCGCGUGAGUGAUGAAGGCUUUCGGGUCGUAAAACUCUGUUGUUAGGGAAGAACAAGUGCUAGUUGAAUAAGCUGGCACCUUGACGGUACCUAACCAGAAAGCCACGGCUAACUACGUGCCAGCAGCCGCGGUAA